UUCUCAAACUCCUGGGCUCAAGUGAUGCUGCCACUUCACCCUCCCAAAGUACUGGAAUUACAGGUGUGAGCCAUGAUGCUCAGUUCAGCUCUCAUCAUUUGAAACGGAGUUUGUUUGUUUUUUUUUUUUUCCCCCUGCUGUUCCUUAGAUUGGAUAAUUUUCUUUGGUCUAUCCUUGAGUUCACUAGUCCUGCUUUGGCAGUUUCAGAUCUGCUGAUAUGCCUCCCUAGUGAGUUUUUAAUUCCAGAUAUUCUGCUUUUCAGCUCUAGGAUCUCCACUUGAUUAUUACAGUUUUUUUUUUUUUUUUUUUUUUUUUUUUGCAUUCCUCUACUACAAUUCUCCAUCAGCUCACUCAUUAUAGCAAACAGUUCUUUUACAUGUUUAUGUCACUGCUUUUAAAAGCCCCUGUGUGUAAAUUCCAAACAUCUAAGCCAUCUCCAGGUCUGUUUCUAUGAAGUGCUUCUUCUCUUAUUAUUGGUCCCAUUUCCCUGGUUCUCUGCGUGCCUAGCAGUUCUUGGUUUUGUGCUGGGCUCUGUCUGGCAUGUGGUAGACAGGGCUGUGGUGCUGUCCUGCAAGGGGGCUGAUUUCACUCUGGUGGGCAGGUAGAUUACUGGUGGAUCUUUCUGGCCCUGACAGGCUUUAUCUUGUACUUUGUUAGGGAAGGAUUAUUUUUUGAACUUAGUCCUAAAGUAUAAUCUUAAUUUUAGGGUGUGACCUUUCUGGAGUCUCAACUGAGUGCCCAAGAUGUUCAGAAAGCCUCUCUGCACUGGCUGGGUUAGAAUUCCAGUGUCUCCCAGCCCUGCCUGACCCUGGUACCCCCAUUCAGCUCUUGGCCCCACAACAGGUGGUCACUGCUGGGCAGUUGAGUCUUGCCCCUGCCUGUGCAGCCCAGGCGGCAGACAAGGACCUGUGAAGAAUUCCAUGGACACAUAGAUACCCCUUCCCCACACAGCCCCUCUCCUCCCCUCUCCUCCAUUACCCUCGAUGCAAAUUCCAGCCACAUAGCAGGCUGGGAUGCCAAUCUCUGUCCCCACAGCUCAGAAAUCCACUGCCGCCCUCCAUGGGCAGCAGCAGAAAUGUCUCCCCAGGCAGGGAACCGGGGUGCGUGGUGCCUGCCUCCUGCGGCCUCCUGUCUCUCAGGGUCGCAGCUCUUUGCUGCCUGUUGUUUGGUGUCUGGAAACAUUUGCUCAUGGAUUAUAUCCAGUUUAUACGGCUGUCAAGAGCCUGGAAUGGCACCCCACAUCCCCAGGGGAGCGUCUUACAGCCUGGAACAGAACCCCACACCAUCAGGGGAGCAUUGUACAGGCUGGAAUGGCAUCCACACCCCCAGGUGAAUGUGUGACAGCCUGAAACAGCAUUCUCCAACCCCAGGUGAGGCUUUGACAACCUGGAAUAGAACCCCACACCCGCAGGUGAACAUCGGACAGCCUGGAACGGCACCGCACACUCCCAGGUGAGCAUCUGACAGCCUGGAAUGGCACCCACGCCCACAGGUGAGGGUGUGACAGACUGGAGCAGCAUUCUCCAGCCCCAGGUGGCCUUGCAACGAUCCAAAACAGAACCCCACACGCCCCGGUGAGCAUCUGACAGCCUGGAAUGGCACCACCACACUUAGGUGAGAAUUUGAUAGGCUGGAUCGACCCUUGAACCUUCAGGUGAGCAUCUGACAGGGUGGAACGGUACCCCACACCUCCAGGUAAGCACCUGAAAGCCUGGAACAGCAGAUCACAUGUUCAGGGGAACAUUGUAAGCCUGGAAUGGCACCGCAAUCCCCAGGUGAGCAUCUGACAGCCUGGAACAGCAUCCCACAUCGCCCAGCGAGAAUCUGACAGCCUGGAGCAGCACCACCACCCCCAGCCCACAGGUGAGCAGCUGACAGCAGGAAAAGCACCCUCCUCCUCGGUGUGCAUCAGACAGCCUGGAACGGCAUCACCACCCGCAGGUGAGCAGCUGAUACCUGGAACGGCACCCCACACUUCCAGGGGAACAUCAGACAGCCUGGAACUGCACCCCCACCUUCGUGUGAGCAUCUUACAGCCUGAAAUGGCAUCCAUGCCCACGAGUGAGUGUGUAGCAGCCUGAAACAGCAUUCUCCAACCUCAGGUGAGCUUGUGACAAUCUGGAACAGGACCCAACAACCCCAGGUGAGCAUCUCACCGUGUAAAACAGCACCCUCCAUCCCCGGGGGAUCAUUUGACAGCCAAGAAUGGCACCCCACACAUCCAGGUGAGCAUCUGACAGCCUAGAAUGGCACCAGCACACUUAGCUGAGAAUCUGACAGCCUGGAUCAGCACUUCAACCUUCAGGUGAGUGUCCGAGAGCCUGGAACAGCACCCACACCCCCAGGUGAGCACCUGACAGCAGGAAAAGCACCCUCCUGCCUGGUGUGCAUCAGACAGCCUGGAACGGCAUCACCACCCGCAGGUGAGCAGCUGAUACCUGGAACGCACCCCACACUUCCAGGUGAGUAUGUGACAGCUUGGACCAUCACCCUGCACCCCAGGAGAGGAUCUGACAGCCUGGGAAGGCACUCCCACACCCAGGUGAGCAUCUGAAACCCUACAGCAUCACCCCCCACCAACCUUCAGGUGAUUAUCUCACAGCCCAGAGCAGCACCUGCCACCCCCAGAUGAACAUCUCACAGCCGGAAAAAUACCAGGUGACCAUAAGACAGCCUGGAAUGGUACCACCACUUAGGUGAGCAUCGGAAAGCCUGAAGCGGCACCCCCCCCACCUCUAAGUGAGCAUCUGAUGGCCUGGAACAGCGCCCACACCCCCAGCUGAGCAUCUGACCGCAUGGAAUGGCAUCCUCACCUCCAGGGAGCAUCCGACAGCCUGGAACAGUAUUCUCCAGCCCCAGGUGAGUGUCUGACAACCUGGAACAGAACCCCACUCUUUCAGGUGAGGAUCCAACAGCAUAAAACAGCACCCUCCACCCCCAGGUGAGGAUCCGACAGCAUAAAACAGCACCCUCCACCCCCAGGUGAGCAUCUGACAGCCGGAACAGCAUCCACAGCCCCAGGUGAGCAUCUGGCACCCUGAAAGGGCAGCACACACCCCCAGGUGAGCACCAGACAGCAUUGAAUGGCUCCCCACACCGCAAAAUGAGCCUCUGAUGGCCUGGAACAGAACCCCACGUCCCCAUGUGAGCAUCUGACAGCAUGGGACAGCACCCCACACCCCCAGGUGAGUAUCUGAAUGCCUGGAGCGGCACCCACGCCCCCAGGUGAGCUUCCGUAAACCGGAAACAGCACCCUGCACGCGCAGGGGAGCAUCUGACAGCCUGGAACGGCUCCCCUACACCCAGGUGUGCAUCUGUCAGCCUGAAACAGCACCCUCCACCACCAGAUGAGCAUCUGACAACUGGAAACUGCACCACACACCCCAAGGUGGGCAUCCGAUGGCAUGGGACAGCACCCCCACCCACAGGUGAUCUGACUGCCUGGAAUAGCACUUCCCCUCAGGUGAGCAUCUGACAGCCUGAAACAAACCCACCGUGAGCCUCUGACAGCACAAAACAGCACCCCAGAGCCCCAGGUGAUCACUGGACAGCCAGGAACAACAAUCCGCAUCCCCAGGUAAGCGUCUGACAGCCUAGAAUGGCACCUGCACACUUAGGUGAGAAUCUGAAAGCCUGAUCGACGUUCGAACCUUCGGGUGAGCGUCUGACAGCCUACAGCAGCAGUGACCGCACCCAGGUGAGGAUGCUCCCCUGAGGCUGGGCGUCCCAUUCCAGGCUGUCAGAUCCUCCCCUGGGGAUGGAAGGUGCAUUUUAGAGGCUUUUGGAUGUUCACAUGGGGAUGAAGGAUGUGUUCCAGGUUAUCAGAUGCUCACCUGGGAACGCAUAGAACAGAACCCCACAACUUCACAUAAGAAUCUGACAGGUGGGAAAGAGCUCCCUGCCCUCAGGUGAGCACUUGACAGCCUGGAACAGCACCCCACAACUGCAGGUGAGCAUCUGACAGCCUGGAACAGCACCCCACAACUGCAGGUGAGUACCUGACAGCCUGGAACAGCACCCCACAACUGCAGGUGAGCAUCUGACAGCCUGGAACAGCACCCCACAA